AACUGUCCUUGUUUUCUUUUUUGAUACCGGUGAGUCUUUGUGACUUUUACGCCAACAGGAACGUGGUCAGGUGUUGGUGAUAAAUAGCUUUAUAAAUUGAAAGGUGGACCAACAAAAUUAUAGUUUUUAUUUGGGUGAUACUGACUUCUAAUUAUCCAGUAGAGUGUCUGAUUGGGAUGCACAAAUAUAAUUAUACUAACCUCACAAAUUCAGAGCAGUCAAAGCUCUGCACAAAUAUCACACAGAGGUCAAAAUUGCCAUCCCCUCUGAUAUCACGAAUCAUAUCGCAAUCGCAAUUCCUGUCAAAAUAACCGCAGUUACCGUAGAUAUUAGCCCUACCAGACACUGAAGCUUCAAAAGAUUUCAUGUGCCAGUGGCUGCUUGCGUUCCGCACCACUGCUGAAACUCUCCCCGAAGCCAAGGCAUGUACAGUUCACCUUUGAACUUUCGCCCACAUGAUUUGCACGUCUUAACUGAAACUCUACCAAAAGGCUUUCGAAGUCUCAAACCUGCACUAUGCUCGCAAUUUGCAACACGCCGGAGUGACGACGGCUACCCUCAGGGGAGGUGGAAGUGUCCCCACCAUCUGCUGCGAGUCUUGAGGGACUUGUGGACUCUCCACAGACUUCUAAUCUGAAUAUUUGAAAGAGGGUUUUUUUUUUCUCUCUCUCUUUGACUUCAAGGUUAGCACUGUUCCUGCUGAAUCUUUUAUUGUUCUCUCCGCCCUGUGCCGUUUGGUGGCUCUGAUGAAAUUGUAAUGGGGAAGUUUUCCAUAAAAAAAGAUCUGACACUUGUUCUAAUUGAAACUAAAAAUGUGUCAAAGUUGGUGAUUUACUGCUGAAACCCCCCUCCCCUCCCGUUGUGGGCCUAAUAAAGGAUUAUCUUAUUUUAGCUGAAAAGAAACCGAUCGAACAAAAAUAGCAAAGCACCAGAGGGUGAGAUACCAUUUGGCUUUCCUGGAUUCAGCUCCAAAAACACUUUGUCCCCCACAAUUUCUGCAACGCAUCAGCAGGGUUAUUUUCUCUGACUUGGAAAAGCCCCCCCAAAGACUUUAUGCAUGUUUUCACUGGCUGAGUAAUUACUAGCUAUUACUGGAGGAAUGCUCCUUUAACAGGCUUUGUAACUGUUUCUAAAACUUAAAGAUCAUACAGUCACAUCUGUCUUUGAUUCUCCGUUCAUUAAAAACCAAGCAAUCUGUGCAAAAUCUGAGUAUUAAUGGUCCAAUGUGUAUAUAUAGUGAUAUAGAGUUUGUCAUGUUCUCAUAGACUGUAGCUCAGAAAGUGGGACGGAAAUAACAGGGGGCGACUCUGCUAUUUAAAAAUAACUCCGUUUGAAUGUCGAUGAGAAAAUUAGCUUCUAAUGCUCACUUGAUCUGUAACGUCAGUACACAUUUUCCUGAGGAGUUAAUGGCCCAGAUCACUACUUUCUUACUCUUCUGCAUUAGAACAUGAUGUCGAUUUUGUAGAUUAUAAUCCCAUUUCAGAGAAAAGAAAAGAUGAUAAAGCAUUGCGCGCAUAAUAUCAUAUAGGAUAGGAGUGGGAAUCACAGGAUACGAUACGCGAUACAUGGUCCCCAAUACCGAUAAUAUCACAAUACAAUGAUUUUGAUCAAUAUAUGAAUUUGUGUGUUGUUUAAAUAAUAAAUAAAAUGGAAAAAAACUCUCAUUUUUUUCCAAUUUCCAAUACUGUGCGAGAAUUUGUGAGCAUUUCCCACUUCAUCCAGUUUUACAUCCAGCGCAAGUUAUGCGACCCGAAAGUGACACGAGAUAUUCAUAGUUUGGAACUUAAAAAGAAACGUUUAACAGAAACACGCGCAAGACAUAUUUUGAAUCAUAAGCAACAUAGACAACAAGCUACGACCCUGCUAUCAUCCAGAAAAGCCAUCUUUUGCGCUGGAGAAGCUAAAUCAAUCUCUACAUGCGGUCAUCAGUGAGACCAGAGCGCAGGGACCGUCUACAAAGUGCAACACCCGAAAUAAGAGGUUUAAAAAUAUUCAAUAACUUCACCAUAAUACAGAGUAGUGUUGUCAAACUUUCUUUAAACUUUACUGUGACCUUGAGGUCAUGUAACUUGUCUGUUUUUUUGUCCCCCAAUUUUUAUUUGAGCGGAAAUUGGGGAAAAAAAACAAAACUUUUUUAACUUUUCAUUUUAUUUUGAAAAUCAAAUGGAUAUCUGUUUUUCUUUUUCAUUAUUCAUUGCCUUUUGAAAAAACCGAAUGACACACAGAUCCAUCAGGGCUUGUGUUUGCAUGUGAGGUAACAGAUCCUUGAGGCACAGAACAGGUGAGUUCAGAAAGCAGACCCGGUUUGUAAAGAGUUCCGGGCACGCCGCCAUCCACCUGGCACUCCCCUGACAGGGAGGCGGCCACAACAGAGACCUGGCAGCUCCAAAACAGAGCUGUGUUGCCAGGAGACAAGUCACUCCUCCCCUAGAUUUAUUUACUGCGCUCCUCAUCAAGGUCAUAGCCAGUGUCUUUGCGGCUGAGCGAGGAGCGAGGGAGACGCGUGGCUGCGAGAGCGAGAGAUAGAGUGAAAAGGAGAGUGGGAGUGGGUCGGCUGAACGAUAUGGUUAAUCUCCAUCCUGGACUAAAAAGUAGCUGUCAUCACCGCUCACUCCCAACGACGCUACCUCUGAUUUAUAUCAUCUCUAUAUGCUAAUUUUAUCUACAUCUGCUCUGCGGCUGGUACAUUAUGAUUAUUAUAAUAAUAAUAACAUUACAUGUGAUGACAUUAUAAUAAUAAAUGUGGGCGGCUUGCACUGGAGCGCGUUAUUGACUUUUAUGUUAUCAUGCAAAGUUGCUUGUCGUUUAAAUAAUGAUAUUGAUUUCAGGGGCAAACUGUUGCUGCAUCGAGAACUGGAAUAAGAACUGACUCCAUUUUUUAUAAAGAGCUGUGCAGAGAGAUAAAUGAAUGCAAAACCUCUGCGGCCCGACUCAAUCUGACAUCCAUUUCCAGUUCAUUACUCAACAUCUUGUACCAGUCACAUGCACAUGACUUUUUUCCCUUGCUGGACCCGCGCAGUGCAGAUCAAAAGAUAGCUCGACGAGCAAGAAAGAAGCCAAAGCAAUCAAAACAAGAACUCACAUUUCGUUGGCCGUUCCAGUUUCCGCCUCCCUCUCUUCUUGUGCGGCGUCAUCAGGCUUUCGUUCUUGUCUCUCCCCGAGUCUGGCUCUUCCCGACCGGACAGGAAUCCGUUCUCCCGGGAAGGACUCAGGCUCCGACCCUGGGAGCCGUCCUCUGCUCGGCAGGAGGAAGGGCCUCUGGGGAUCCCGUUCUCCACUUCCCUCCUCUCCUGUUUGGGGAAGCAGGCAUCAGACGUCCUGUCCCUGUGCCCGCCCACAUCUCCGUUGUGGACUUGUGCCAUGGACGGCCUCCCGACUCCAGCGUAGCUGUCUUUGAAAGAGCCACAGCUCUCAGCCUGCCCCGGCACAGAGAGAGUGAAAGCGUUAACACGCCUGCCAUCCAUCAGCUUUACAGAUCGCUAUCGCCGUAGCAGUUUGACGUUGCAAAGGUUUUACAGCAGAUAUGACACAUGUACCGCUGAACAGAGCGGAGUUAAUAAAUAAAGUCAAUAAAUAAACCCGCAUUCA